CCAGCCCCAGCCCCCUCAGCCACUCGGCAUUGUCACCUUCUGUAAAGAAAGAGGUCGGCAGCUGAUCCACUCUGAUGCGGCACAGGCACUGCUGGAGCAUCACAAGACCAUGUAGGUCCAACCACUCCUAGCUGUGGAGGAGGAGACUCGUUGCUGCUCCUACCUGGAGGAUGGGCAGCUGAGAUGGAGCAGCAGCAGCGUCACCAGCCCCUGCCUUUGCAUGUGAACACCCGGCAGCCAGACGGGCGCAGGUCUCCUCUGCUGCAGCCGCCCGCCUGGGCCUGUCCCUGUCCCAUACAUUCCAUUUACGCAAAAGACUGGAGGGAGGGGUUGGUUUUUUUGGCACUUUUAAACCCAUUUUGGACACCUUUUCCCGGCGCCGGACAUGACACU